rnacentral:rRNA from 1 species
UACGGGGGGGGCAAGCGUUGUUCGGAAUUACUGGGCGUAAAGGGCUCGUAGGCGGCCAACUAAGUCAGACGUGAAAUCCCUCGGCUUAACCGGGGAACUGCGUCUGAUACUGGAUGGCUUGAGUUCGGGAGAGGGAUGCGGAAUUCCAGGUGUAGCGGUGAAAUGCGUAGAGAUCAGGCGGAACACCCGUGGCGAAGGCGGCCAGCUGGGCCGUCCCUGACGCUGAGGCGCGAAGGCGUGGGGAGCGAACGGG